GAUGAACGCUGGCGGCGUGCUUAAGACAUGCAAGUCGAACGGGUGUAGCAAUACACUAGUGGCGAACGGGUGAGUAAUACGUAAACAACUUGCCUCUCAGACGGGGACAACUCCGAGAAAUCGGAGCUAAUACCCGAUAUGCACACAAGUUCUUAUGAACAAGGGUGGAAAGCUUACGGGGCUGAGAGAGAGGUUUAUGGCUGAUUAGCUAGUUGGCAGGGUAAUGGCCUACCAAGGCAACGAUCAGUAGCUGGUCCGAGAGGAUGUCCAGCCACACUGGGACUGAGAUACGGCCCAGACUCCUACGGGAGGCAGCAGUCGGGAAUUUUGCACAAUGGGCGAAAGCCUGAUGCAGCGACGCCGUGUGAAUGAAGAAGUCUUUCGGGAUGUAAAGUUCUGUCAGCAGGGAAGAUAAUGACUGUACCUGCAGAGGAAGCUCCGGCUAACUAUGUG
rnacentral:rRNA from 1 species